AAGGUAGCUUGCUACUGGACCUAGCGGCGGACGGGUGAGUAAUGCUUAGGAAUCUGCCUAUUAGUGGGGGACAACAUUCCGAAAGGAAUGCUAAUACCGCAUACGCCCUACGGGGGAAAGCAGGGGAUCUUCGGACCUUGCGCUAAUAGAUGAGCCUAAGUCGGAUUAGCUAGUUGGUGGGGUAAAGGCCUACCAAGGCGACGAUCUGUAGCGGGUCUGAGAGGAUGAUCCGCCACACUGGGACUGAGACACGGCCCAGACUCCUACGGGAGGCAGCAGUGGGGAAUAUUGGACAAUGGGCGGAAGCCUGAUCCAGCCAUGCCGCGUGUGUGAAGAAGGCCUUUUGGUUGUAAAGCACUUUAAGCGAGGAGGAGGCUCCUUUAGUUAAUACCUAAAGUGAGUGGACGUUACUCGCAGAAUAAGCACCGGCUAACUCUGUGCCAGCAGCCGCGGUAAUACAGAGGGUGCGAGCGUUAAUCGGAUUUACUGGGCGUAAAGCGUGCGUAGGCGGCUUUUUAAGUCGGAUGUGAAAUCCCUGAGCUUAACUUAGGAAUUGCAUUCGAUACUGGAAAGCUAGAGUAUGGGAGAGGAUGGUAGAAUUCCAGGUGUAGCGGUGAAAUGCGUAGAGAUCUGGAGGAAUACCGAUGGCGAAGGCAGCCAUCUGGCCUAAUACUGACGCUGAGGUACGAAAGCAUGGGGAGCAAACAGGAUUAGAUACCCUGGUAGUCCAUGCCGUAAACGAUGUCUACUAGCCGUUGGGGCCUUUGAGGCUUUAGUGGCGCAGCU
rnacentral:rRNA from 1 species